rnacentral:tRNA from 1 species
GGGGUUGUAGCUCAGUGGUAGAACAUGUGUCUAGCAUGCCCAAGGCUCUGGGUAUGAUCCCCAGCACCACUA